rnacentral:rRNA from 1 species
UACAGAGGGUGCAAGCGUUAAUCGGAAUUACUGGGCGUAAAGGGCUCGUAGGCGGCCAACUAAGUCGGACGUGAAAUCCCUCGGCUUAACCGGGGAACUGCGUCCGAUACUGGAUGGCUUGAGAUUGGGAGAGGGAUGCGGAAUUCCAGGUGUAGCGGUGAAAUGCGUAGAUAUCUGGAGGAGCACCGGUGGCGAAGGCGGCAUCCUGGACCAAUACUGACGCUGAGUGAGCGAAAGCCAGGGGAGCAAACGGG